rnacentral:SRP_RNA from 1 species
GCCAGGCGUGGUGGCGCACACCUGUAAUCCCAGCUACUUGGGAGACUGAGGCAGGAGACUCGCUUGAACCUGGGAGGCGGAGGUUGCAGUGAGCUGAGAUCUUGCCACUGCACUCCAGCCUGGGUGACAGAGCGAGACUCUGUCUCAA